AGGGAAUAUUGGGCAAUGGGCGAGAGCCUGACCCAGCCAUGCCGCGUGCCGGAUGAAGGCCUUCUGGGUUGUAAACGGCUUCUCUCAGGGAAGAAAAAGGGUAUGCGUACCACACUGACGGUACCUGAGGAAUAAGCACCGGCUAACUCCGUGCCAGCAGCCGCGGUAAUACGGAGGGUGCAAGCGUUGUCCGGAUUUAUUGGGUUUAAAGGGUGCGUAGGUGGCUUGUUAAGUCCGGGGUGAAAGCCCACAGCUCAACUGUGGAACUGCCCUGGAUACUGGCGAGCUUGAGUCCAGACGAGGUUGGCGGAAUGGAAGCUGUAGCGGUGAAAUGCAUAGAUAGCUUCCAGAACCCCGAUUGCGUAGGCAGCUGACUAGGCUGGUACUGACACUGAGGCACGAAAGCGUGGGGAGCGAAC
rnacentral:rRNA from 1 species